AGUGAACGCUGGCGGUAGGCCUAACACAUGCAAGUCGAACGGCAGCACAGUAAGAGCUUGCUCUUACGGGUGGCGAGUGGCGGACGGGUGAGGAAUACAUCGGAAUCUACUUUUUCGUGGGGGAUAACGUAGGGAAACUUACGCUAAUACCGCAUACGACCUACGGGUGAAAGCAGGGGAUCUUCGGACCUUGCGCGGUUGAAUGAGCCGAUGUCGGAUUAGCUAGUUGGCGGGGUAAAGGCCCACCAAGGCGACGAUCCGUAGCUGGUCUGAGAGGAUGAUCGGCCACACUGGAACUGAGACACGGUCCUGAGUCCUGCGGGAGGCAGCAGUGGGGAAUGUUGGACAAUGGGCGCAAGCAUGAUCCAGCCAUACCGCGUGGGUGGAGAAGGCCUUCGGGUUGUAAAGCCCUUUUGUUGGGAAAGAAAAGCAGCAGGUUAAUACGCCGCUGUUCUGACGGUACCCAAAGAAGAAGCACCGGCUAACUUCGUG
rnacentral:rRNA from 1 species